GCCAUCAAUAGUGUUAUCAAACGAAAUUUGCACAUUAGAGGACGACAAUACAUCCUUAAGGAUGAUAUCAGAGAGCUGAUUAACAGCUGCAGAAGUGGAAGAAGAAAGCAAAAGCUUGUUGAGCAGGACCACGAGAGAAGCUCUAGCCUCAUCGGAUGUUAAAUUACUGAGGAUUGAAAAUGAUGCAGACACCGUAGGCGCAUUAGUCUUGCUGGUUUUAGCAUUGGAGGAAGACGAUACUUUGGAGAGUGCUGAAGAGUCUAUGCUCAGACGACUGAGCCCAUUGGCAAUAUCAAAUACAGAGGAAGAUGACAGUGAUGAGCCUUUUCCGCCCACUGUAACCAUGCGUCUCUCUUCCGCCAUGGGUCACCGAAUCAGAAAGAUGAUGUUGGGUUUUCCGGCAAAAUCGCCGGCGAAGGGAUUAAUGGGGGUUUAGAAGGUGACGGAUUGAGGGUUUUUUGGGGGGGAAAUGGGCUGCAGAAACGGAAUUUUG
rnacentral:misc_RNA from 1 species